rfam:Triticum urartu cultivar G1812 contig460466, whole genome shotgun sequence.
CCAUGCAUUAUUAGGCGGGUCUCCUUUGGCAGUUGCCUGAUCAAACGACCAGACAUUGCCAAAGGAGACUUGCCCGACGAUGCAGCU